rnacentral:tRNA from 1 species
GUUCAGUGGUAGAAUUCUCGCCUUCCAUGUGAGAGGGCUGAGUUCAAAUCCCAG